rnacentral:rRNA from 1 species
AUUGAACGCUGGCGGAAUGCUUUACACAUGCAAGUCGAGCGGCAGCGCGGGGGCAACCCUGGCGGCGAGCGGCGAACGGGUGAGUAACACAUCGGAACGUACCCUGUCGUGGGGGAUAGCCCGGCGAAAGCCGGAUUAAUACCGCAUACGACCUGAGGGUGAAAGCGGGGGAUUCUUGGGCAACCGAGGACCUCGCGCGAUAGGAGCGGCCGAUGGCGGAUUAGCUAGUUGGUGGGGUAAAGGCCUACCAAGGCGACGAUCCGUAGCGGGUCUGAGAGGACGGCCCGCCACACUGGAACUGAGACACGGUCCAGACUCCUACGGGAGGCAGCAGUGGGGAAUUUUGGACAAUGGGGGCAACCCUGAUCCAGCCAUUCCGCGUGAGUGAAGAAGGCCUUCGGGUUGUAAAGCUCUUUCGGCAGGAACGAAACGGUGGAGGCUAAUACCUUUCAUCAAUGACGGUACCUGAAGAAGAAGCACCGGCUAACUACGUGCCAGCAGCCGCGGUAAUACGUAGGGUGCGAGCGUUAAUCGGAGUUACUGGGCGUAAAGCGUGCGCAGGCGGUUAUGUAAGACAGAUGUGAAAUCCCCGGGCUUAACCUGGGAACUGCGUUUGUGACUGCAUAACUCGAGUGUGGCAGAGGGGGGUGGAAUUCCACGUGUAGCAGUGAAAUGCGUAGAGAUGUGGAGGAACACCGAUGGCGAAGGCAGCCCCCUGGGUUAACACUGACGCUCAUGCACGA